AGUUCCUACUGAUCAGAUAUUGGGCGUAAAGGGCGCGUAGGCGGUCUUGUCCGUCAGAUGUGAAAGCCCGGGGCUCAACCCCGGAAGUGCAUUUGAAACUGCAAGACUUGAAUACGGGAGAGGAGAGAGGAAUUCCUGGUGUAGAGGUGAAAUUCGUAGAUAUCAGGAGGAACACCGAUGGCGAAGGCAUCUCUCUGGACCGAUAUUGACGCUGAGGCGCGAAGGCGUGGGUAGCGAACGGGAUUAGAUACCCCGGUAGUCCACGCAGUAAACGUUGUACACUCGGUGUGGGGGAUAUUAAAAUCUGCUGUGCCUAAGCUAACGCAUUAAGUGUACCGCCGGGGAAGUACGGUCGCAAGACUAAAACUCAAAGGAAAUUGACGGG
rnacentral:rRNA from 1 species